GACUAGACGCGUUGAUUUAUUGUAAGACAUGCAGAUAGUUAUUUGAAAGGAUGUGGUUUGCAUUAAUUCUUGAUAAAUUAGAUAGUAACGUAAAAACGUUUGUUAAAAUCUCCAAAGCAUCCCUAAUGGCAUAGAUACGCCCCACAAAUAAUGUUAUACACAUAUAACCCAACUCAUGUCACUACUAGCUAUGUUCAUACAUUAUGGUUUAUUUGGAUUGUCAAGCAAAGUAACCCUACCCCUGCCCCACCCUACACACGCACCCCACACUUUUUUACGAUUUAUUUGGAUUUGUCACACAAAGUAACCCCCCACUC
rnacentral:lncRNA from 1 species